UACGAAGGGGGCUAGCGUUGCUCGGAAUUACUGGGCGUAAAGGGUGCGUAGGCGGUUCGUUAAGUCUGUCGUGAAAUCCCCGGGCUCAACCUGGGAAUGGCGAUGGAUACUGGGCAGCUAGAGUGUGUCAGAGGAUGGUGGAAUUCCCGGUGUAGCGGUGAAAUGCGUAGAGAUCAGGAAGAACACCCGUGGCGCAAGCGGCCACCUGGCAGAGCACUGACGCUGAGGCACGAAAGCGUGGGUAGCGAACCGG
rnacentral:rRNA from 1 species